CCUACGGGAGGCAGCAGUGGGGAAUAUUGCACAAUGGGGGAAACCCUGAUGCAGCGACGCCGCGUGAGUGAAGAAGUAAUUCGUUACGUAAAGCUCUAUCAGCAGGGAAGAAAUACUGACCUUACGGUCAUCAGCCGGUACCUGAGUAAGAAGCCCCUGCUAACUACGUGCCAGCAGCCGCGGUAAUACGAAGGGGGCCAGCGUUGUUCGGAAUUACUGGGCGUAAAGGGUGUGUAGGCGGGAAAGUAAGAUAGUGGUGAAAUGCCUGAGCUCAACUUGGGAACUGCCAUUAUAACUAUUUGUCUAGAGUGACAGAGAGGAGAUUGGAAUACCCAGUGUAGAGGUGAAAUUCGUAGAUAUUGGGUAGAACACCGGAGGCGAAGGCGAGUAGCUGGCUGUCAACUGACGCUGAGGCACGAAAGCAUGGGGAUCAAACAGGAUUAGAUACCCUGGUAGUC
rnacentral:rRNA from 1 species